GUAAGGUGGAGCUAAUCCCUUAAAGCUACUCUCAGUUCGGAUUGUAGGCUGAAACUCGCCUACAUGAAGCUGGAGUUACUAGUAAUCGCAGAUCAGAAUGCUGCGGUGAAUGCGUUCCCGGGUCUUGUACACACCGCCCGUCACACCACGGGAGUUGGAGACGCCCGAAGCCGAUUAUCUAACCUUUUGGAAGAAGUCGUCGAAGGUGGAAUCAAUAACUGGGGUGAAGUCGUAACAAGGUAGCCGUAUCGGAAGGUGCGGCUGGAUC
rnacentral:rRNA from 1 species